CGCGUAGGCGGUUUUUUAAGUGAGGCGUGAAAUCCCUGGGCUUAACCUAGGAGGUGCGUUUCAGACUGGAAAGCUUGAGUGCGAGAGAGGAAAGUGGAAUUCCUAGUGUAGAGGUGAAAUUCGUAGAUAUUAGGAAGAACACCAGUGGCGAAGGCGGCUUUCUGGCUCGCAACUGACGCUGAGGCGCGAAAGCGUGGGGGAGAAC
rnacentral:rRNA from 1 species